GGGUUGUGAGGUUAAGCGACUAAGCGUACACGGUGGAUGCCCUGGCAGUCAGAGGCGAUGAAGGGCGUGCUAAUCUGCGAUAAGCGCCGGUAAGGUGAUAUGAACCGUUAUAACCGGCGAUACCCGAAUGGGGAAACCCAGUGUGAUUCGUCACACUAUCAUUAACUGAAUCCAUAGGUUAAUGAGGCGAACCGGGGGAACUGAAACAUCUAAGUACCCCGAGGAAAAGAAAUCAACCGAGAUUCCCCCAGUAGCGGCGAGCGAACGGGGAGGAGCCCAGAGCCUGAAUCAGCAUGUGUGUUAGUGGAAGCGUCUGGAAAGGCGCGCGAUACAGGGUGACAGCCCCGUACACAAAAGCGCAUGUGCUGUGAGCUCGAUGAGUAGGGCGGGACACGUGGUAUCCUGUCUGAAUAUGGGGGGACCAUCCUCCAAGGCUAAAUACUCCUGACUGACCGAUAGUGAACCAGUACCGUGAGGGAAAGGCGAAAAGAACCCCGGCGAGGGGAGUGAAAAAGAACCUGAAACCGUGUACGUACAAGCAGUGGGAGCNNNNNNNNNNNNNNNNNNNNNNNNNNNNNNNNNNNNNNNNNNNNNNNNNNNNNNNNNNNNNNNNNGGGCGUUAAGUUGCAGGGUAUAGACCCGAAACCCGGUGAUCUAGCCAUGGGCAGGUUGAAGGUUGGGUAACACUAACUGGAGGACCGAACCGACUAAUGUUGAAAAAUUAGCGGAUGACCUGUGGCUGGGGGUGAAAGGCCAAUCAAACCGGGAGAUAGCUGGUUCUCCCCGAAAGCUAUUUAGGUAGCGCCUCGUGAAUUCAUCUCCGGGGGUAGAGCACUGUUUCGGCUAGGGGGCCAUCCCGGCUUACCAACCCGAUGCAAACUGCGAAUACCGGAGAAUGUUAUCACGGGAGACACACGGCGGGUGCUAACGUCCGUCGUGAAGAGGGAAACAACCCAGACCGCCAGCUAAGGUCCCAAAGUCAUGGUUAAGUGGGAAACGAUGUGGGAAGGCCCAGACAGCCAGGAUGUUGGCUUAGAAGCAGCCAUCAUUUAAAGAAAGCGUAAUAGCUCACUGGUCGAGUCGGCCUGCGCGGAAGAUGUAACGGGGCUAAACCAUGCACCGAAGCUGCGGCAGCGACACUGUGUGUUGUUGGGUAGGGGAGCGUUCUGUAAGCCUGCGAAGGUGGCCUGUGAGGGUUGCUGGAGGUAUCAGAAGUGCGAAUGCUGACAUAAGUAACGAUAAAGCGGGUGAAAAGCCCGCUCGCCGGAAGACCAAGGGUUCCUGUCCAACGUUAAUCGGGGCAGGGUGAGUCGACCCCUAAGGCGAGGCCGAAAGGCGUAGUCGAUGGGAAACGGGUUAAUAUUCCCGUACUUGGUGUUACUGCGAAGGGGGGACGGAGAAGGCUAUGUUGGCCGGGCGACGGUUGUCCCGGUUUAAGCGUGUAGGUGUGUGUUCCAGGUAAAUCCGGUUCACUUUAACACUGAGGCGUGACGACGAGGCACUACGGUGCUGAAGCAACAAAUGCCCUGCUUCCAGGAAAAGCCUCUAAGCAUCAGGUAACAUCAAAUCGUACCCCAAACCGACACAGGUGGUCAGGUAGAGAAUACCAAGGCGCUUGAGAGAACUCGGGUGAAGGAACUAGGCAAAAUGGUGCCGUAACUUCGGGAGAAGGCACGCUGACACGUAGGUGAAGUGAUUUACUCAUGGAGCUGAAGUCAGUCGAAGAUACCAGCUGGCUGCAACUGUUUAUUAAAAACACAGCACUGUGCAAACACGAAAGUGGACGUAUACGGUGUGACGCCUGCCCGGUGCCGGAAGGUUAAUUGAUGGGGUCAGCGCAAGCGAAGCUCCUGAUCGAAGCCCCGGUAAACGGCGGCCGUAACUAUAACGGUCCUAAGGUAGCGAAAUUCCUUGUCGGGUAAGUUCCGACCUGCACGAAUGGCGUAAUGAUGGCCAGGCUGUCUCCACCCGAGACUCAGUGAAAUUGAACUCGCUGUGAAGAUGCAGUGUACCCGCGGCAAGACGGAAAGACCCCGUGAACCUUUACUAUAGCUUGACACUGAACAUUGAGCCUUGAUGUGUAGGAUAGGUGGGAGGCUUUGAAGUGUGGACGCCAGUCUGCAUGGAGCCGACCUUGAAAUACCACCCUUUAAUGUUUGAUGUUCUAACGUGGACCCGUUACCCGGGUUGCGGACAGUGUCUGGUGGGUAGUUUGACUGGGGCGGUCUCCUCCUAAAGAGUAACGGAGGAGCACGAAGGUUGGCUAAUCCUGGUCGGACAUCAGGAGGUUAGUGCAAUGGCAUAAGCCAGCUUGACUGCGAGCGUGACGGCGCGAGCAGGUGCGAAAGCAGGUCAUAGUGAUCCGGUGGUUCUGAAUGGAAGGGCCAUCGCUCAACGGAUAAAAGGUACUCCGGGGAUAACAGGCUGAUACCGCCCAAGAGUUCAUAUCGACGGCGGUGUUUGGCACCUCGAUGUCGGCUCAUCACAUCCUGGGGCUGAAGUAGGUCCCAAGGGUAUGGCUGUUCGCCAUUUAAAGUGGUACGCGAGCUGGGUUUAGAACGUCGUGAGACAGUUCGGUCCCUAUCUGCCGUGGGCGCUGGAGAACUGAGGGGGGCUGCUCCUAGUACGAGAGGACCGGAGUGGACGCAUCACUGGUGUUCGGGUUGUCAUGCCAAUGGCACUGCCCGGUAGCUAAAUGCGGAAGAGAUAAGUGCUGAAAGCAUCUAAGCACGAAACUUGCCCCGAGAUGAGUUCUCCCUGAGACUUAGAGUCUCCUGAAGGAACGUUGAAGACGACGACGUUGAUAGGCCGGGUGUGUAAGCGCAGCGAUGCGUUGAGCUAACCGGUACUAAUGAACCGUGAGGCUUAACCUUACAACGCCGAAG
rnacentral:rRNA from 1 species